rnacentral:rRNA from 1 species
ACGAACGCUGGCGGCGUGCUUAACACAUGCAAGUCGCACGGAAAGGCCCUGCUUUUGUGGGGUGCUCGAGUGGCGAACGGGUGAGUAACACGUGAGUAACCUGCCCUUGACUUUGGGAUAACUUCAGGAAACUGGGGCUAAUACCGGAUAGGAGCUCCUGCUGCAUGGUGGGGGUUGGAAAGUUUCGGCGGUUGGGGAUGGACUCGCGGCUUAUCAGCUUGUUGGUGGGGUAGUGGCUUACCAAGGCUUUGACGGGUAGCCGGCCUGAGAGGGUGACCGGCCACAUUGGGACUGAGAUACGGCCAGACUCCUACGGGAGGCAGCAGUGGGGAAUAUUGCACAAUGGGCGGAAGCCUGAUGCAGCAACGCCGCGUGCGGGAUGACGGCCUUCGGGUUGUAAACCGCUUUCGCCUGUGACGAAGCGUGAGUGACGGUAAUGGGUAAAGAAGCACCGGCUAACUACGUG